UGGGGAAUUUUGCACAAUGGGGGAAACCCUGAUGCAGCGACGCCGCGUGAUUUAGAAGGCCUUCGGGUUGUAAAAAUCUUUUCUAUGGGAAGAAAAUGACAGUACCAUAGGAAUAAGGACCGGCUAAUUACGUGCCAGCAGCCGCGGUAAUACGUAAGGUCCGAGCGUUGUCCGGAAUCAUUGGGCGUAAAGGGUACGUAGGCGGGUAAGCAAGUUAGAAGUGAAAUCCUGUAGCUCAACUACAGUAAGCUUUUAAAACUGAUCAUCUUGAGAUAUGGAAGGGAAAGUGAACUUCCUGGUAUAGCGGUGAAAUGCGCAAAUAUUAGGAGAAAUACCGGUGGCGAAGACGACUUUCUGGCCAUAAUCUGACGCUGAGGUACGAACGCGUGGGUAGCAAACAGG
rnacentral:rRNA from 1 species